CCAGCAUCAAAGGCUUCUUCUCUUCUUCCUGCACUACCCAUGUCAAGCUCCGUGGCGUUGGAUAAAAGAGUAAGAUGACGACCUUGCUUGCAACCUACCUUGGUUUGGGCCCUUGUGAUCUGGUCCAUGUAGCUAGCUUUGAGGUGGAUGAACAUGUAUUGUAUUGCAUCUUCAAUAAAACUGUGACACAUUCAACUUAAUUAUUGCAAAACAUCAGUUAGUGCUCUCCUGCAAUUUAUUUGGAUAAUCUAAAAGCACAUCACUUAUCUUCUCAACUAGUGCUGUAGUUUGGUUGCUGUGAGAUUCAAUUCAAUGGUCUUGUACAUAUCACGUCUGGGUAAACAAUUGCCUCCUGUCUACUAGUUUCUAAUGCCUGGAGUAAUCUGUGGCUGAUUUGUACCGGUUCUAUAUAUUUAGUAAUUGCUGUCAUUGGUUGCAGAAUCCUGAAUCUAUUCUUGUUGUACUGAGAGAGCUUUCUCUUUAUUUUUUCUUGUGACCGAUUUGGCCUCCUCCUGCCUCCACACGUGCAGUGCAGGAAGGGUCUAUCUCCACAUCACAAGUCUGAUGGGUCCUUGGUGGUUUUCUCAGUUUGACCCUGCUGCUGAGGAUGCACAGGCUGCUCCUCGUUCAUUCGAGGUCGACAACCUUGAGCGCAUAGAGCAGGGAGGCCAGUGGCAGACGAAUCCCUGUGUGCAUGAGGUGUUUGUGGCCGUGCUCGCGGACGAGGUUAAGGUGUGCGAGGCGGAGGGUGCCGUCGUGGGCUGGCGCAAGGUGCGUUCAGUGUGGUAAGGUUCAAGGGUGGGGAAAUUGUUAGGACAAUAUCGCUGAUACCCGUGAGGGCGGUAUGGCGGGGGCAGACCGGCAGCACAUCCAGAGGAUCAGGCGGAACCGCUACUACAUUGGUCGUGGCGAGCAGAACCCACCGACUGAGGACAUGCACCAGGCGGUGAACUACCUCAGCUAGGAGCUCUACUCCAGGGACGUACACUUCCAACCUACUAGCAAGGAGACAACGUGGG